UCCUGUACACUGUUGGUGGGAAAGUAAAUGGAACCAUGGAACGCAAUAUGGAGGUUCUUCAAGAAAUCUUUAAAAACUACCAUUAUGAUCUAGCAAUCCCACUUCUGGGUAUAUAUCCUGAAAGGUAAUGAAAUCACCAUCUCUGAAGAGAUAUCUCAACUCUCAUGUUCACUGCAGCAUUAUUCACAAUAGCCAAAGUAUGGAAACAACUGAAGUGUCUGACAACAGAUGAAGAGAUAAAGAAAAUGUGAUGAGAUGGACUAUUAUUCAGCUUUAAAAAAGAAGGAAAUCCUGCUAUUUGCAACAACACAGAGAAUCUGGAGGGCACUACACUAGCUGAAAUAAGCCAGACAGAGAAAGACAAAUACUGCAUGGUAUCACUUACAUGGGGAUCUUAAAAAAAAAAAAAAAAGCUGAUCUUUAUAUAAACAGAAAGUAGAGAGGUGGUUGCCAGGAUGGGGGUGGGGGCAGGAAACAGGAAGAAGGUGGUAAAAGGGUAUAAACUUUCAGUUAUAAAGAUGAAUAAGGUCUGUGGAUCUAAUAUAUAACAUGGUGACUACAGCUAAUAAUCCUGUAUUGUAUAAGUGAAAUUUGUUAAGAGAGUAGAACUUCAGCAUUCUCACACACACAAAAAGUGAGUAUGUGAGGUGAUGAAUAUGUUAACUUGGAAUCCUUUCACUAUAUAUAUACAUAUAUAUGUAUGUGUGUAUAUAUAUAUACAUAUAUAUAUCAAAUCAUGUUAUAUAAUUUAUAUAUUUUAUAGUUUUGUCAAUUAUACCUCAAUAAGCUGAGAUAAUAUUUGCUAAAGGAAGUGCUAUGACUACACCAUAUAUGAACAAACUAGUUGUACAUAAUAAAAUUAUUUUAGGAGAUAAAAGAGCAAACAUUUAGAAACCACUGCCCUAUGAGAUAUGAACUAAAGAGAAUUCAAACACAAUGAUUAAGAUAAUUUUUCUUUAGGUUGAUAGUUUCUCCAACACAGAGAAUGUUUCUUGAAAAAAAACAGUGUGUAUGGACCAGGGUGAGGUAAUAGUUUAUGUUCUUUCCUGGAGAGAUAGUGUGGCAUUGGGCUUUAUACCUUCCUGACAUUCCUGAGCUUCAAUUUUCAUGGUGAUCCAAAUGAACCUUAAACUGUGAGAAGCACUGGUAAAGAAGAGGCCAUUUGUAGGAAAGAUAUUAUCACCAGCUAUAUAAGCAACUCAGGUGGGAACUUUUUGAUGCACCUGCUUAACUAAAGCUGAGUAAGGCAAAAUAAUGAAGAGUUUAACCCUAAUGAUAGAUUGACAUAUAUAAAUGUUCGUAAGCACACAACUCACUGUCCUCAACUAGGGAAUUUGUUGCCCCAGGAAGCACUGGGCAACGAAAGUCUAGAGACAUUUUUGAUUGUCACAAGUGGGGAGAGGAAGGCUACUACUGGCAUCUAGUGAGUUGAUACCAAAGAUGCUGCUAAACAUCUUAAAAUGCACAGCACAGCCCCCACAACAAAAAAAUCAUUUGACUCAAAAUGCUAAUAGUGCUGACAAUAGAGAAACCCUAGCAUAGAUUAUGCAAACAUCCCUACAUAAAGGUGUGUUAACUGGAACUGUUCAUGAAAAAAGGAGCAAUAAUUUGACUACACAGCUCUGAGGGGAUGAAUUUUAUAUCUGGGCAUUUUGCAUCUCAGGGUCUAUGCAGCUGUCAAGACUAUGUGUACCCUGGCUAAAAGCUCUCAAAAUCAUUUAUCUGCUAUUUCUAGCAAACUCAAGAGUCAAUAAUAAUCUGUAUUAGCAUAUAAAAUCAGUCAGCAUCACUGCCUAAAACCUGUUACUAUGUGAAGAAAAAUAAUGGAGACAGAAAAUUAAGGUACUGUUUCAUUUAAAACCUAAUCCAACUGAAGAAGAAAGCAGGCGUAGGGCCCUUAACUCCAUACCCUCCUUAGCAAAAGACACCAAUAGUCUAUACCUUCAUUUUCCACAUCCACAAUCCCUUUUUUGCAAUUUCAAAAAGCUAAUAACUAUGCAAUAUUCUUUUCUAAAUUGUGGCUGCACUUCUUAUCUGAACUCAUCAUCUGGCAGCAAAGCCUGAAGAGAGGCAAGGCUAUUCAUUAUCUUAAUUAUCCCACUUAGUGUAACUAUUCAUAGGGUUCACUGCAGAAGUAUUCAGAGGUUUGCUUAGGAGGUGGUGCCACAGGGUUUGCUGGAGCUGUAUAUAUGAUAGAUGCUCCUUACUGCCUUUCUAAAAUUUGAAAAACUGUAACUUUGAAAACAUUUGGCUUCAAAAGUUUUGGAUACAUGAUUUAUGGACCUCAAAUGACUAAAAUACAGUCAACAGCAAAUAUUUGCUGAAAGUAUUCAUAUACAUUUGAAAAAAGAAAAGACACACACAUACACAAAUGCCUACAUUAGUAAUUAGCAGUAUGACAAUCAGUUUCUUUAUUUAGGGCACUGUGUAAAAGUUAGGCUUGCAGCUUCAAAUCCUACAAGGUCCUGCUAACUCUGUAUAGAAAUGCCUUUCUUCAAGUCCAUAAACUAACCUCAAACUCAAAUUCAGCCUUCUUGGUAAAAAGCAAGAACAGUGAAUGAUUUAGGGUAAGCCCCUUGACUAUACCAGAAGUGCUAAUUCCAAUUCAGUAGUAUAAUCAGCCUCUCUCCCUCUCUCUCUCUCUCUCUCACACACACACACAGAAUGUGUAAUAGCAUUACAGGCUCUGAGAAGGUUCUGUCAGGGCCUCUCUCCUAUCUUCAGUUCUCACUGGUUGCCAGCCCUAAGCUCCUGAGUUGAUGGUUGGGAGUAUAACUCUUUCUGCAUAUAAACUCUUAUUUCCCUCCCAGACAGGACUUACCCGACCAGCCUGUUGACUGUCUUAUGGUGUGCUCAUGGGACUGGCCCACAGAAAUAACAGGUUGUUAGGAAAUAAGUAGUAAGGAAUUACUAAGAGCAAAUGUACUCAAAUUGUCAGUUUUAUGUGUCUACCUUAUAGGAUGGGGGCUUGGAAACAAAAGGGGAUGCCAGCUGAUUUCCAGAAACCAUCAAAAAGAUAUUUGGCCUUGGAACCAUGAUGAAAAAGAUGCAUCAUGCUUGCUGCCAAAAACAAUGAACGCAAUAGAAACAAUUUAAACUUCUUCAACAUCUUUUUUUGCCAGUUAUAGCUCUGCCAAGGUUCACUAAUCACCAUUCAGUUUUUAUGCUUUUUUCAUUACACUGUCAAAUAAUCUUCCCUCUUUUAUAUCCUAAGGAAAUACAUGUCCUUCUCCUGAAAAUGAAAUAGCACAUUGUAUUAUUUAAUAAGUUGAAAACAAAUCCUGAAAAGUUUUUGUGAAACUGUUCUCUAAUAAAACUCUAAGAACUGUGAUGUAAAGCAGGGAAAAUAUUUUACUGCAGUUAUACUCAGCGCAUUGUUAAAUAUGAUUCUAAUGAUAAGGUGGGAGGAAGAAGCACUUUGCCAAAAUUUUUGUAACUUUCACCACCAAAGCAGUUUGCCCGUGGACGUUCGUAUCUACCAGUGCGUUGUGAAGUCUCAUGACCAUUCAGGAAGGAGGUGCCAUCUUUCUCUUCUCAGGUGUCUCAAAUAGGGAGUGGGAAAGGGAUAGAGGUCACAGGCAAACCUCCUUCCAAGACUGUGGAUGAGCUCAUCAUCAACCCCACCCUAGCAUCCAGCUCAGCUUCUUAAGAAUUUCACAGGCUCCAGCCCUCGGACCAGCCUCUUAUCAGGUUCUCAAAACGGGAAAAAAUAAAAGUGGAUCCUCCCCACAAAAAAAAAAAAAA